GACGUAGGGGGCAAGCGUUGUUCGGAAUUACUGGGCGUAAAGCGUGCGCAGGCGGUUUUGUAAGUCUGUCGUGAAAGCCCCGGGCUCAACCUGGGAAUUGCGAUGGAGACUGCAAGGCUUGAAUCUGGCAGAGGGGGGUAGAAUUCCACGUGUAGCAGUGAAAUGCGUAGAGAUGUGGAGGAACACCGAUGGCGAAGGCAGCCCCCUGGGUCAAGAUUGACGCUCAUGCACGAAAGCGUGGGGAGCAAACAGG
rnacentral:rRNA from 1 species